CCAGGGUACUAUUAGUUAAGGUCUUUAAACCCAAAGAAUUUGGCGGUAUCUCAUUCCAUUCAGAGGAACCUACCCCAUGAUUGAUAAUACACGAUUUACUCUACUUAAUUUAUUUGUUUGUAUAUCUCCGUUAUCAGAGAAUCUUUUUAGAGUUAUAAUUCUCAAGAUUUAUAAUUAUAAAAUAUUUCAGGUCAAGGUGCAGCUUAUAGUUAAGAGGAGGUGGGUUACAAUAAAAGGUGGAUUUGAUAGUAAUUUAAUUUAUUUAAUUUAACUGAUAUUGGCUCUGA
rnacentral:rRNA from 1 species